GAUGAACGCUGGCGGCGUGCCUAAUACAUGCAAGUCGAGCGAACAGACGAGAGUGCUUGCACUCUCUGACGUUAGCGGCGGACGGGUGAGUAACACGUGGGUAACCUACCUAUAAGACUGGGAUAACUUCGGGAAACCGGAGCUAAUACCGGAUAAUAUUUAGCUUCGCAUGAAGCAAUAGUGAAAGACGGUUCUGCUGUCACUUAUAGAUGGACCCGCGGUGUAUUAGCUAGUUGGUGAGGUAACGGCUCACCAAGGCAACGAUACAUAGCCGACCUGAGAGGGUGAUCGGCCACACUGGGACUGAGACACGGCCCAGACUCCUACGGGAGGCAGCGGUAGGGAAUCUUCCGCAAUGGACGAAAGUCUGACGGAGCAAUGCCGCGUGAGUGAAGAAGGUUUUCGGAUCGUAAAACUCUGUUGUAAGGGAAGAACAAGUACGUUAGUAACUGAACGUACCUUGACGGUACCUUACCAGAAAGCCACGGCUAACUACGU
rnacentral:rRNA from 1 species